rnacentral:lncRNA from 1 species
GAAAGAGUUACCAAAUACUGAAAAACCAUCCAUGAAGACAAUAAAUAAUUCCAGCAUCUAGAAGUUUAAUUACCUCGGCUUUUACAAAUUCCUUCAUGUUGGGGUUCAGACGUCUUUGAGUUUGCACACAUGGUUUGUAUUCAUCUUCCAUUAAAAUUUUGUGGGUGCAAAAAAAAGGACUGAUUCCUUUAAUGUUAGAAAUUUUCCAUGCUAUGGCCUUCUUAUGUUCUUUUAAUACUUGGGUUAAUUCC